rnacentral:rRNA from 1 species
UCCCCUAGUAACUGCGAGUGAAGCGGGAAAAGCUCAAAUUUUAAAUCUGGCGGUCCUUUGCGGCCGUCCGAGUUGUAAUCUAGAGAAGUGCUUACCCGCGCUGGACCGUGUACAAGUCUCCUGGAAUGGAGCGUCAUAGAGGGUGAGAAUCCCGUCUUCGACACGGACUGCCAGGGCUUAUGUGGUGCGCUCUCGAAGAGUCGAGUUGUUUGGGAAUGCAGCUCUAAAUGGGUGGUAAAUUCCAUCUAAAGCUAAAUACAGGCGAGAGACCGAUAGCGAACAAGUACCGUGAGGGAAAGAUGAAAAGAACUUUGGAAAGAGAGUUAAACAGUACGUGAAAUUGCUGAAAGGGAAACGUUUGAAGUCAGUCGCGUUGGCUGGGGAUCAACCUUGCUCUUGCAGGGCGCACUCUCUGGUUUCGACGGGUCAGCAUCAGUUUUGGUCGCUGGAGAAAGGCUAGGGGAAUGUGGCAUCGCUUCGGUGAUGUGUUAUAGCCCUUGGUUGUAUGCAGCGGUUGGGACUGAGGAACUCAGCGCGCGCCUCUUCACGGGGGUGCCGGGUCUUUCGAGACCACGCUUACGCGCUUAGGAUGCUGGCAUAAUGGCUUUAAGCGACCCGUCUUGAAACACGGACCAAGGAGUCUAACAUGCUUGCGAGUGUUUGGGUGGAAAACCCGAGCGCGUAAUGAAAGUGAAAGUUGGGAACCCUGUCGUGGGGUGCACCGACGCCCGGACCAGACCUUCUUGUGACGGCUCCGCGGUAGAGCAGGCAUGUUGGGACCCGAAAGAUGGUGAACUAUGCCUGAAUAGGGUGAAGCCAGAGGAAACUCUGGUGGAGGCUCGUAGCGAUUCUGACGUGCAAAUCGAUCGUCAAAUUUGGGUAUAGGGGCGAAAGACUAAUCGAACCAUCUAGUAGCUGGUUCCUGCCGAA